rnacentral:lncRNA from 1 species
AAUACCUUUAUCUUUUUGUUGUCGGUUUGUUUGUUUUGUGGUAUGAGGAAUAUCUGUACUUGUAACAGUUAUAGAUUUAAAUAAUGUAGUAAAUUGGUGUUCGUCGUCCUUGUUGUCAUAAAUGGUAGUGGAUUUGUAAUUUCAGUCGACGAUCUGGUUGUUUUUACAAUUGCAGCUGUGGUUGGAUGUGCAGUAGUGCUGCCAAUACCACAUGUGACCUUAAGUUUGUUUCCCAAUGAAUCAUCAUGUUCUCCUGUGAAUCAAAAAUUGUAGAUCAAUUUUAAAUUUU